AUUGAACGCUGGCGGCAGGCCUAACACAUGCAAGUCGAGCGAGCGGCGGACGGGUGAGUAAUGUAUGGGGACUGCCUGUUAGAGGGGGAUAACUACUGGAAACGGUAGCUAAUACCGCAUACUAUCGGAUAACCCAUAUGGGAUUAGCUAGUAGGUGAGGUAAUGGCUCACCUAGGCAACGAGCCCUAGCUGGUCUGAGAGGAGGAUCAGCCACACUGGGACGGAGACACGGCCCAGACUCCGACGGAGGCAGCAGUGGGGAAUAUUGGACAAUGGGCGAAAGCCUGAUGCAGCCAUGCCGCGUGUAUGAAGAAGGCCGUAGGGUUGUAAAGUACUUUCAGUCGGGAGGCGUUACCGACAGAAGAAGCACCGGCUAACUCCGUGCCAGCAGCCGCGGUAAUAC
rnacentral:rRNA from 1 species